rnacentral:rRNA from 1 species
GUAUGCAGGCGGACCUUUAAGUAGGAAGUGAAAGGGUGGAGCUCAACUCCGCCACUGCUCCCUAUACUGGGGGUCUUGAGUGCCGGAGAGGACAAGGGAACGGGUCGUGUAGCGGUGAAAUGCGUUGAGAUGACUCGGAACACCAAUGGCGAAAGCACUUGUCUGGACGGAGACUGACGCUGAGAUACGAAAGCCAAGGGAGCGAACAGGAUUAGAUACCCUGGUAGUCUUGGCCAUAAACGAUGUUCACUAGGUGUCGGGGGGACUCCUUCGGUGCCGCAGCUAACGCAUUAAGUGAACCGCCUGGGGACUACGGCCGCAAGGUUGAAACUCAAAGGAAUUGGCGGGGGCCCGCACAAGCGGUGGAGCAUGUGGCUUAAUUCGAUGCAACGCGAAGAACCUUACCAGGGCUUGACAUGGAGCUGCAAGCUCGUGAAAGCGAGUCGCUUUCGAAGGUGCUUCACAGGUGGUGCAUGGCUGUCGUCAGCUCGUGUUGUGAAAUGUUGGGUUAAGUCCCGCAACGAGCGCAACCCUCACGUUUUGUU